UGGAGAACGCCACUUCGUCCUGCAAGGUGGAGAAGAUCAUCCUGGCGGUCGGCCACAACAGAGGGCAGAGUAAAGAGACAAUGGUCAAGCAAUUUUAUGCUUCAUAAACGUUUUUCCUGUUUAUCAUAGCAAUGGCCUUCCCAUCGCCGUCAAAGUUUCUGUUGCUCAAUGAACCGAAAGGCAAGGCCAUUGUGCAGGCAUUCCAAUUAUUGAGUGCAAGUACUGCUUGUGUCCUCAUAGCACCUGCUAAUUGAAGAUUCAUUCUCUCACAUCCUGUGUUUUUUCACCUACAGUAUGCCAUCAGGGAUGAGGCUGUCUCCAGACAUGUCCUGCCUGGAGACAUGCAGCGAGGCGGCCGCACACAUUGCCGUGCUGACCCGCCAAAAGAGGCAGAGCGAGGAGCGCAAUCGGUUCCUCCAAAAUGAAAUCGGCAUGAAGAAUGACUUCAUUCGCCGACUGGAGGAGCCGAAGCAAUCGGCAGCAUGACGUGCCAUGCGCAAGUCUCGCGCAGUUUGGAACGUGAGGUCCAAGAUCACGUUCCGAGCUGAACACACUUCCACGGCAUCUUUUCUAAAACAAUGGCCUUCCCAUCGCCGUCAAAGUUUCUGUUGCCCAAUGAACCGAAAGGCAAGGCAAUUGUGAAGGGAUUCCAAUUAUUGAUAUGCCAUCAGGGAUGAGGCUGUCUCCAGGCAGGACAUAUACAUUGCCGUGCUGACCCGCCAAAAGAGGCAGGGCGAGGAGCGCAAUCGUUCCUCCAAAAUGAAAUCGGCAUGAAGAAUGACCUCAUUCGCCGACUGGAGGAGCCGAAGCAAUCGGCAGCGUCUCAAGAUGACAUCGCUGACGAGGAGAUGCUCGCCGUUCCUCUUUUGGAGGAGGAAGAUGUAUUGUAAAUAUGUUGUUUGAUUGUUUAAAGUUGCGUUUGAUUAUUUAAUAAAAAUGUUAGCCCAA